AACGAACGCUGGCGGCAUGCCUAACACAUGCAAGUCGAACGAGAUCUUCGGGUCUAGUGGCGCACGGGUGCGUAACGCGUGGGAAUCUGCCCUUUGGUUCGGAAUAACAGUUGGAAACGACUGCCAAUACCGGAUGAUGACGAAAGUCCAAAGAUUUAUCGCCAGAGGAUGAGCCCGCGUAGGAUUAGCUAGUUGGUGUGGUAAAGGCGCACCAAGGCGACGAUCCUUAGCUGGUCUGAGAGGAUGAUCAGCCACACUGGGACUGAGACACGGCCCAGACUCCUACGGGAGGCAGCAGUGGGGAAUAUUGGACAAUGGGCGAAAGCCUGAUCCAGCAAUGCCGCGUGAGUGAUGAAGGCCUUAGGGUUGUAAAGCUCUUUUACCCGGGAUGAUAAUGACAGUACCGGGAGAAUAAGUACCUGCAAACUACGUGCCAGCCGCCGCAGUAA
rnacentral:rRNA from 1 species